AGGAUUAACGCUGGCGGCGUGCCUAACACAUGCAAGUCGAACGAGGUAGCAAUACCUAGUGGCAGACGGGUGAGUAACGCGUGGUCAACCUACCGUUGAGUGGGGGAUAACUAGCCGAAAGGUUAGCUAAUACCGCAUACGAGUCUCGGGGGCAUCCCUGGGCCUUAAAAGGAGCAAUCCGCUCGAUGACGGGACCGCGUCCCAUUAGCUAGAUGGUGGGGUAAUGGCCUACCAUGGCUCCGAUGGGUAGCUGGUUUGAGAGAGCGACCAGCCACACUGGGACUGAGAAACGGCCCAGACUCCUACGGGAGGCAGCAGUGAGGAAUUUUCCGCAAUGGGCGAAAGCCUGACGGAGCGACGCCGCGUGUGGAAAGAAGGCCUUCGGGUCGUAAACCACUGUCGAAGGGGACGAUAAUGACGGUACCCUUGGAGGAAGCCCCGGCUAACUACGUGCCAGCAGCCGC
rnacentral:rRNA from 1 species